rnacentral:rRNA from 1 species
CCUACGGGAGGCAGCAGUGGGGAAUAUUGGGCAAUGGGCGCAAGCCUGACCCAGCAACGCCGCGUGAAGGAAGAAGGCUUUCGGGUUGUAAACUUCUUUUCUCAGGGACGAAGAAAGUGACGGUACCUGAGGAAUAAGCCACGGCUAACUACGUGCCAGCAGCCGCGGUAAUACGUAGGUGGCAAGCGUUAUCCGGAUUUAUUGGGUGUAAAGGGCGUGUAGGCGGGAGCGCAAGUCAGAUGUGAAAACUCAGGGCUCAACCCUGAGCCUGCAUUUGAAACUGUGUUUCUUGAGUGCUUGAGAGGCAAGCGGAAUGCCGGGUGUAGCGGUGAAAUGCGUAGAUAUACGGAGGAACACCAGUGGCGAAGGCGGAUUGCUGGACAGUAACUGACGCUGAGGCGCGAAAGCGUGGGGAGCAAACAGGAUUAGAUACCCUUGUAGUC